rnacentral:misc_RNA from 1 species
GAUGAAGAACGCAGCGAAAUGCGAUACGUAAUGUGAAUUGCAGAAUUCAGUGAAUCAUCGAAUCUUUGAACGCAUAUUGCGCUCUCUGGUAUUCCGGAGAGCAUGCUUGUUUGAGUAUCAGUAAACACCUCAACUUCCAUAUCUUUUUUUGAAAUGGGAGUUGGACUUGAGUGAUCCCAACGCUUUUCCUCACCGAAAAGUGGCGGGUUACUUGAAAUGCAGGUGCAGCUGGACUUUUCUCUGAGCUAUAAGCAUAUCUAUUUAGUCUGCCUAAAAAACAGAUUAUUACCUUUGCUGCAGCUAACAUAAAGGAGAUUAGUUCUUGUGCUGACUGAUGCAGCAUUCACAAAGACAGCUUCGGCCGACUUUGUAAACUCGAUCUCAAAUCAAGUAAGACUACCCGCUGAACUUAAGCAUAUCAAUAAGCGGAGGA